UGGAGGUUUUUAGUCCGUAGGCGGAAAAGAAUCGGGCAUAAUUAAUGCGACGGCGCUUAAUUAUCUUUUGAAGAUUUUCCUACCA
rfam:Drosophila busckii chromosome 2R sequence.